rnacentral:rRNA from 1 species
AUUGACCGCUGGCGGCAGGCCUAACACGUGCAAGUCGAGCGAUCGGCCGACGGGUGAGUAGUGUCUGCGAAACUCCCUGAUGGAGGCGGCUAACUACUGGACACGGUAGCUACUACCGCAUUCCCUCCGAUGUGCCCAGAUGGGAUUAGCUAGUUCGUGGGGUAACGGCUCACCUAAGCGACGAUCCCUAGCUGGUCUGAGAGGAUGACCAGCAACACUGGAACUGAGACACGGUCCAGACUCCUAUGGGAGGCAGAAGGGGGGAAGAUGGCACUAUGGGCCCAAGCGGGAUGCAGCCAUGCCGGGGGGGUGAAGAGGGCCUUCGGCAUGUAAAGCACUUGCAGCGGUGAUUCGUUACCCGCAGAAGAAGCACCGGCUAACUCCGUGCCAGCAGCCGCGGUAAUAC